ensembl:lncRNA
UGCAUUGUAGCUUAAACCCAUGUGGGUUUUCUUUUUCAUUAUCCUGUGUUUUAUUUGUGGUUUUUGAGUGUGAGGGUGUCACACAACACAUCCAUGUUGACAUCUGUCUGAUUCAGUGAAUGUCUGCCAAGUGACACAUGAAUUUUUUGCAAGAAAACUUUUUGGAAAGUAUGUCAGGACAAAUGAUUUUUGACAUUGACAGCAAAUGUCAUGUGAAGUGUUUCCCCUCUCCUUUAUUUUGCCAAUGUAAUUAUAUGGUUAGUUGCAUUAUUUUGUUUGCUUAGUUGUUCCCUGCUGAUUUUAGGUGGGAUAAUUUCAGUCAAUCAGGAUCAGCUGGCAGGAAAGGUUGGAAGAAGCCUUGCAAUUCCUAUUAGAUUCAAUACCAUCAGGAUCCAAACCUCAGCAGGUGGCAGAUCUCGAAUAUAUGAAUUAAAGAGCUUUUCCUGUGCUCGAAAUCUGCUGUGAAAUGUGUUAGUUUAAGAGAAAAUACAUUUUUGGAACCUUUCAGUGAACAGUUCUUAAAAGAACCAUUAUUCUAAAUUGAAAAGUUGGAUGUUAAAGGUUCUUCACUGAACCGUUGAUGGCAAUAAAGCUUUAUAACAGUAGGCAUGGAUGAAGUACCUUCUUCAAUCGGACGUGAUCAGUCCCUUCAGGGCAGGUCGGUCCAAUUGGCAAAGCAUCUUGCUGAGGCCUUCAGGCAGCUAUUUCCAGUCUUGAAGGUACAGCUCUUAUCUACUUGAAUGGGAAACGACUGCAUCUCCAAAAUUUUAGCCAUGAUGAUAAAAUAAUAAAGUGCAACAGUUGGUUUCCGUUUCUGUGGUUGCACUGCCACCCUUCUGCAACACGCUGUCAGGUUUACAAACGAUGGAAAGCACGUGUGACGACUGCACGAACGCUACAAUUAAUGCACGAUUUCUGGGAUCGAACAAAUCUGGAUUUAUUGGAUUUACCAAAAUUUGCAUGUGGUGAAAGAAUCCACCUCCAGCAAUCUGCAGCAUCAAACUCAUUGGUCUUCAGUGAAAGAUGUUGACUUUUAAUUGAUGGAUGGCCGCGGUGGCAAAGGGCAUGUGUUGACUGAAUUUGUCUUUGAUAUGAUGCAUCAUGCACCGGAGCAAUUUAUAUACAACAACAUGACAUAAAAACAAUUCUAUGCAAACAUGGAAUGAUCUUUAAAACCAUAACUGUUGCAAACGAAACUAUUGCAACACCAGUACAGCGACUGUAGACAUGCAGGUGAAUAGAGCUUCAAGUUGUUUGGUUCUGUAUAAAAUUAAUUUAAUGUUUUACCCAGUAUUUCCAGUCCAGAGCAACAGGCCGACUGUCACUUCUCCAAUUCCUCAAUCUUACUUUGUCUUGGCCUCCAUCCUGUAGUCUAUUAAAGUGUCUCUUACUUCAGUGUACUUCCUCCACCGUACAGUUUUAUGGUGUAGAGCGCUAACUCAGCACCGCAACCCUUAAAAAACACACUAGGGUUUUAUAGCAUCAAAGCAUGUAGACGUCCUGCUAUAAGAACAGAUGGUGCCAGACUGCUAAUGGUUUGCUGCUUCUCGCUCUGUGCUGUGCAUCUUGUAAUUGACCCUUUUAAAUCUACGGCGUCGGAGUGCCAACGCAUUACAUGUGCAUCCUUUUAAUGGAAUGUUUUUCUCCACCUUUUAAUUAUAAGAUGUCUGUACGUACGUUAGAGAUGGCGCAUCGGAGCUGGCUGUCAAGGCUGGACAGAUUUAUGGCCCUUCAUGCCCUUGGUUGGUAAUGAAUGUCAGCAAGAGUCUGCUAGCAUGUUUGCUUGAAUGUUAAUGUUUGUUGUUUUAGGGCAAUAUCUCUCGCAGUAGCCUCAAAAGCUUUUUUAACAUUUGGAAGAAGUGGCCUAAAUGAUGCUUUUAACAUUUAACGUGAUC